ACCAGUCUUUAGUCAAGGGUAGAUGAAUAGCUGCACUCCCAUGCUAGAACCUCCAAACAAACUCUCAAGGUCCAUUGUAGGAACAUAGGGUAGUAAAGCUUAUGGACUAACUGAAGAACUGUGAACCUUGGCAUGGACUGGGUAACCCAC
rnacentral:snRNA from 1 species